rnacentral:misc_RNA from 1 species
GAAAUGCGAUACGUAAUGCGAAUUGCAGAACUCAGUGAAUCAUCAAAUCUUUGAACGCACAUUGCGCUUCCUUGGAAGCAUGCUUGGCUCAGUGUCCGUCACACCCCUCUUCCACUCCCUGUGGGUGGCAAGGUAGCCUGAGAGUCGCGGCGCCCCGGGUGGGCGGCGCGUCUCUUGAAGUGUGGCCAUGGGGAGCGGCAGGCUGUCUGCUGCCUCAGUGCGGCAUCUGCAUGGUAGGUGGGGUCCUUCCCACACUUGUCCAGCAGUGCUGCCAGGGCAGUGCGCCUGCGGUAUGCUCGCCGAGCCCGCGUGCGGGUCUCGCCCCUUCGUUUUGACACCGGACCUGAGUGAAGCAAGAGGACCCGCUGAAUUUAA